CGGAGGCGCCCGUGACGACGGCCCACGCGGGCACCACGACGGGGACGACAAUCGGAUCAUCGACGACGACGAUGAAGAAGAAGAAGAGGAGAAAAGGAGGAGGAAAAUGAAGAUACGAAGAAGAAGAGGAAGAAUAAGAAGCAGGAGAGGGAGAGGAAGAGGAAGAGGAAGAGAAAGAAGAAGAAGAAGAGGAAGGACAAGAGGAAGAAGGAUAAAAAUAUCAUUUUACCUUAUUAACUGACCAUGGUUAAAUAUUUUAACUGUGGUUAACUAGAUUUCUCUAACGGAUAUUAACGGCAGAGACAUAUCUAAGGCUUAGUUUGGUAAUGAGAUCUAUCUAACGCUAUUAGAUAAAAUGGAGUUGAGGAAAAAACAUAUAAGGAUAUACUUCUGUAUUCUCCGUUGGGAACGCAAAAAAUAUAUCGUAACCGACUCAUCGCGAUAUGCAGAACACAAUAUUACCUACGAAAAUAAACAUGGCAUUUUUUUAACAUACUUUCUCACCGCACGUAACGCAAUCUCCCUACAAUCCCAAACGAAGUCUAAAUAUAUUAGAAUUUUCACAGUGAUAACUUAUCAAAGUUGAACUUUACAGGAAUAUAUCUGUUAUUCAUCGUGUUUGCAGGGAUCUGUAUAAAAUUAACUCUUUUAAAAAAUCAACUCGUUGGUAUUUUAAUGUGCCAGCUCGUGUCUGGCUUGUUUAUUUCCACUUGUUGACAGCCCUAGUGUGUAUCCAUUCACCUCUUCUCUCUCUCUCUCUCUCUCUCUCUCUCUCUCUCACAUUUUGCAUCAAACACUUCAUAGUUAAACCCUCCAAACCCUAAACCCUAUAGAGAAAAAUGCUCCCUUCUUCGUCUUCUUCUUCUUCCUCAUCUCGCUCCCUCCUCCACCGCCUCCUCCACCACCACCACCAUCGCCACCACCUCCUCCUCCUCCCCUUCUCCUCCCUCUCCCUCCC
rnacentral:lncRNA from 1 species